rnacentral:rRNA from 1 species
AUUGAACGCUGGCGGCAGGCUUAACACAUGCAAGUCGAGCGGUAACAGAGAGAAGCUUGCUUCUCUGCUGACGAGCGGCGGACGGGUGGGUAAUGCCUAGGAAUCUGCCUAGUAGUGGGGGAUAACUUGCCGAAAGGUAAGCUAAUACCGCAUACGUCCUACGGGAGAGAGGAGGGGACCUUCGGGCCUUUCGCUAUUAGAUGAGCCUAGGUCGGAUUAGUUAGUUGGUGAGGUAAUGGCUCACCAAGACCGCGAUCCGUAACUGGUCUGAGAGGAUGAUCAGUCAAACUGGAACUGAGACACGGUCAAGACUCCUACGGGAGGAAGCAGUGGGGAAUAUUGGACAAUGGGGGGAACCCUGAUCCAGCCAUGCCGCGUGUGUGAAGAAGGUCUUAGGAUUGUAAAGCACUUUAAGUUGGGAGGAAGAGCAGUUAACUAAUAUUUGACUGUUUUGACGUUACCGACAGAGUAAGCACCGGCUAACUUCGUGCCAGCCGCCGCCGUAA